GCCGGUCACUGCACCAUGUUCCGGGUGAUUGUGGCGCUACUUUUAUCCUAUGGGCGUUUGGCUGAGUCUAUAACACAGUCACCAAUGUCGUAUGUAACCAAGCUCGGUAAAAGUGCCAGAUUUAAAUGUACCGUAGACAGCGAGAGCACCGUUGUCCAUUGGUACCAGCAGCGGGAGGGUCAGGCGCCCUCCAGAAUACUUUAUUAUGACAGCAGCGUCGUACGGGAUCCGGAAUUCAGCAGCAGGUUUAAAGCAGAUAAGAGGAACACUUUGUGCACUUUGAUAAUCAAUAACAUCGUGAAGGAAGACGCUGCCACAUAUUACUGCGCCUAUUGGGACAGCACAGUGUUCAACAGAGACAGAAAGCCUUUACAAAAACGCGGCGCUUCAGCUCGCUUCUCUCUCAGCUACCACACAAAGAACGCCAACUUACAUUUAUAAAGCGCUGUUAUACGUAGGAAAUCGUCCCACCUAGUCUCGGGAGAUGCAUUGUAAAACAAAAUUUAACAUGAGGCUAAGUAUAUAUUGGCGGAUGUGUAUUUGAGGUGUGCCCUUUGUUUUGAAUUCUGAGGGGCCUUUUUGGGUAUGACAUAAGUUAGCCUAUAAAUCCAAAUUGAGUUCCGGCUUGCGUGAGAGAGAGAAAGAAGAUUCUAGAGAAAUUCACAAAUGAUUU